rnacentral:rRNA from 1 species
CAGUAGCCACGGUAAUACAGAGGGUGCGAGCGUUAAUCGGAUUUACUGGGCGUAAAGCGUGCGUAGGCGGACAUUUAAGUCAGGGGUGAAAUCCCGGGGCUCAACCUCGGAAUUGCCUUUGAUACUGGGUGUCUUGAGUAUGAGAGAGGUGUGUGGAACUCCGAGUGUAGAGGUGAAAUUCGUAGAUAUUCGGAAGAACACCAGUGGCGAAGGCGACACACUGGCUCAUUACUGACGCUGAGGCUCGAAAGCGUGGGGAGCAAACAGGAUUAGAUACCCCGGUAGUCCCUGUCUCUUAUAA